rnacentral:lncRNA from 1 species
GUUCACAUUAGAGGUCAUCUCAGAGAGAUCAAGGCUACACAAAAGAUUGUGGACAAUAUGGACAAAGAGCAAAAUUAACUCCCAAACUCAAGACAAGAGGGUUCUGUAUGUCGAGUGAUAAAGGAGAUUUUGGAACUCUGUACUUGAAUUCUUCCAGAAAUCAAGAACCACAGUGUGUUUGUGCACAUACUGCCAAUGUAUACAUUCAUGGGCCCUAACAUGAAACUCCUUAGCGGACCUACACACAGAAAAUAAAAUGCACUUGAUUUGAAAGCACUGUUUCAAGUGUUUCAAUAUGCAAAGCCAAUUUUUAUUAAUAGAGCAUAGAGAAGAUAACUUUUUUCCUUCUCUGAUUUAGAUUGUAAAACAUUUAGAUUGUAAAACACUAAUAUUUAAGUAGUGCUAUUUUCAGUUUUAUUGCUUAAUGUUUGAAUGUGCAGAAGAUCUUAAGAAUCAAUUGUAAGUCCAAUACUUAUUAAGUCUAAGUGAGAAAAUCUACAAUUUUCAUAACUCAGUGUCUUGAACAGGUUGUAGUGAUGCUAUUUGAUUAGUUUAACACCUCAGAGGUAUGGUUUGCUGAGAAUAUGAUUUUGAAGAGUUUUAAGUUUAACAAAACUCUAUAGUGAACUUCACCAUAGGAUAAAUUGCACAUUAACAUGUAUGUGAAAUUUAACACUUGAGAAUAAUAUUCUAUCUGUAAUUAAAUAAUACAUUAAAUGUCUCAGGUCAGAAUCACUGUUAUCAACUGUGAGAUAUAUUUGCUGUUUUAGGCAACUGAUGCAUGGAGUAAAUAGUAGUAAUCUACUAUGUAACCAAAAGAGUUAACAGUCUUCCUGGUAAGCCAAUCAUAAACAUCCCCAAAUUUAUUAUUUAUCUUGAUGUUAAAGUGUGCUAAAUGAUAUACCUUGAUGUUAAAGUGUACUAAUUUUCAAAAAGUAAAUAGUUUCCUAUGCAAUGGUCUCUCCUUAUUCAUGAAGGCUAUGUUCCAAGACCCCCAGUGGACUCCUGAAACCCUGGAUAGUACCAAAUGCUGUGUAUACUAUGUAUUUUUCCUAUACCAACACAGCUAUGAUAAAGUUUAAUUUAUAAAUUAGGCCCAGUAAAAGGUUAACUAAUAAUAAAAUAGAACAAUUAUAACAAUAUACUGUAACAAAAAUAUGGGAAUGUGGUCUCUCUCUCUCAAAAUAUCUUAUUGUACUAUACUGUACUGUACUAUGCUAACCUAUUCUCUGACUGCUGUUGACCAUGGGUAACUGAAACUGCAGAAAAUAAAACAGCUCAUAAGGGAGGACUACUGUGAUAUUUUUUAAUUAACGAGAAAACAAACUUCUUGACAGAUAAUCAAUUAGACAAGAAAAUGGUGAAGAAAUGUGU